GCGGCCGCGGGAAGCUUCUGCUCGCUCAGGGAUGAAGCUCCGCUAAUCCUGCAUCCCUCUCCUAGAAGCAUCCUUUUCCUAGUGGUGUUUUUGGCUACUCUGAACAAAGCUGCUGUAAAUAUUCAUGUACGGAUCUUGAUGUAGACGUAUAUUUUCACUUCACUUGAAAAAUACCCAAGAGUGGAAUUUCCGAAUCAUGUGGACUUGUGGCCUGAAUAAGCCAUCCAGCAAUCAGUAGGCCCGGGGGUGCUCUUUAGUGUUAUUAAAAAUAAGAAAUUACAGGCCAGAGCAACACAUACCCUGAAGAUGGCUCUGGAGCCCUGGGCAGAGUUCAUUCAUUGUCCACCUCUUCAGACGAGAUGACCCAGAACAGAGCCAGCCUGUGGGUUGGCCCAGCCACGGCCUUUGUCAACUGGAUGGACCUCGGGAGAAACAAAGGGGCAGCCCCCGAGCCGUCCGGUCAAGCCCCUGGUUGCUCGGAGUGGGUACUGAAGCCCCAAGAGGGGAGACAUCUCGCCAAGGGCCCGUGUAGUCAUUGACAACUCAUUAGCGCUGGAACUAGAGCAUCGUGGCCGUUAUUUGGUUUGGCUAAGAUUGCUCUAAGGCAGCAGGAGUUCUCACUCAGCUCCACACCUCUCAGCACAAACAGAGCCUGGCCACAGCUGGUCCUCUGUCAGUGUCUGCGAAUGCAACUGUGCACAAAUCAGCACGGCUCUUUCCUUGAGACGCAACUAGUGCCUCCAGAAGGGGUUCUUUCCAGACUGAGAAAGACCCAACCACCUGUCUGGAUCAGGGGCUCUGUCAGCUCUGAAGUGCUUUACAAACAUUGGCUCAUCUCGGUUCUACGUAGACGCAGCAUCACGAUGACCAGCACCAGGCCAAGCAGACGGACCAGAGAAAGCAGCUCUGAUAAACAGAAGGACAGAAGCCUGGGGGGGAUCCAGUGUUGCCAGAGCUUCCAGGUUUGCUUGUGUUUAAAAGACAGAAAUCCUCACUUUUCAAAAAGUUGCUGGAUUCUAAAAUGCUGACUCAAGAUAUUUUAAAACAGUUUGAGGACAAACAAAACACAUCUUUGUAGUCAGUGUGUCUGCUCCUCCAGGAUGCACAUCCAUCUGGCUGAUGGCAAAUGAGUCUGGGCUCUCGAGGCCUCGCUGUUGUGGGAGAGAGGCCCCUGGGUGUCGAUCACCACUGGCUAGGAGUGAUUAACUUCCUCUAAGUCGUCGGGUCCCCAAGAUGGAAACAGUAAUACCUACCUCAUGGGGUUGUUGAGAGAGUUGUAAGAUCAUGUAGAGAAACAGUACUUUGUAAACCAUAAAGCAAUGUACCAAGAGUUAAUACACAAAUAAUAGAUAUGUGUAAUAUAAUCUCUUUAAACCACCAAAGUUAGGAGGUUCUGGGGUUAAGAUACAUAACCCCAGGAAUUAACUCCUUGAACCGCAUUCAAGACCCCACCCAAGAAUAUUACAGAGGGGUAGGCAUUUGUUAGCUCAGAAUGAGCACGUCCAGAUCGAACUCUGUACUUAUUAGAAUUUGCAUUCUGAGGGCAAGAUGUAAGAGAAAGAGUGCAGGACUGCAAACCACACUUCCAGUCCCAGCGUUGCCACCAGGGCCAUGUGUCCCUGGGGAAGUUCUUUCUUUGCUCUGGGCCUCAGUUUCUCCAUCAACAACAUGAGCACACUGGACCAGCCUGCUUCCAGCUCCGAAGUUUUCAAAUGUUAGCACCCCCACCAGCUUAGCCUCCCAGUGCUCCAGCUCGUGCCCGGCCGUGGGGACCCCGCUGUGUGACCUGAGCUAUCACAUCCUAGCCAGGGCUUCUGCCUUGUCCCCAGGCCCAAGUGACCCAGUUGUGCUAAAGCUCUGAUGGAACCUCAGUGGGUGGGGGUUCAUAUGGAAGGAUGGGUUGACUUAGGGCUUGAAUUGACUUAGACUAAAUUCAGAGACAGACAGGGAGGCAGAUAAACACCAGUCAGAUGGAGGCUCCGUGGAAAGUAGACCCAGGACCUUCUGAGGCUCUGCUUUUGUGUGGGAGGCAAGAUUUUCCUCACCCUCUUUGGGUGUUUCAGCUGGACCUGAGAAUUAAAUUGACAUAAGACAGAUCAACAGGAGAAAAGCAUACAGAUUUUUCCAACAGAAGUUUUAUGUGACAUGGGAGCCCAUGAGAAAUAAAGACCCAGAGAAGUGGCAAAGCCUUUGUGCUUUUUUACCAGGUAAAGCAGAGAGAGGCAAUUGUGGAAAAAGAACUAAACUACAUGGGGACAUUAAAGGAAGAUAAGAGUUAUUUUCAGGUACAGAACUCUCUAGUCUCAGCUUCCAUCCUUGCUGAUAAGAAUGUGACUUUCUUUCCGGUGUAGGGAAGGCUUCUUUCACAUGGAAAUUUCAUUAUUUUUAAGAAAAAGAAAGUCAGGGUGUUCUUGCACCUGCUGUUUUUCAAGUACCUUUAGCUCAGAAUAGUCAACGUGCCAGAGUCGCAUAUUUUGGGGUGGCGCGUGGGGGCCUCCUCCUUGACUUGAUGGAGUUGGACCAGAUCUUUCCUAAUAGUGACCAUUGUAUUGGGCCCUGGCCCAGGCUUAGCACCCCGCAAAGUGCUUCCACACCCAUUGCCUUGUCCUGGAACAAGCAUCCUUACCCUGAGGCUAUAAAGGGUGGGGUGGGGUGGGGAGGGGGUCGGAGAGGCUAUGAGAUUUCCCCCAAGACAGGGUCACCCGUGGGGAGACAGGGCCUGCACCCCAGCCUCUGCCCUCAGUGCCGUGGGCCGCAUUUAUCGUAGUUACCGUGCACUCACAUUGCGCCUACUGUUGAGCAGUCACUUUUGGCUUGAGUUGUUCAGUCUUUACAACAACUCGACAGAGGGACAGGCUUCACUAAGGAGGAAACCAAAACAGGGAAGUGGAGUGACUUCCCUGCAGUCACGCAGCGGGCAAGUGCAUGUAGGGGCUGGAGCCUGGGGCCAUCUGAGUAGAGUCUGAGCUCUUAACCCCCACCUCCCCCAGUGCCCGCAGGAGCAGGCAGCUCUCUCCGGAAGCCAGCAUUCGGAUUCUGUGACUUCAUCUGUGAUUUUAGCUUGGGUUCCAGAGGAGCCCGCUUAGGUUUGCUCUCAUGAUCUCACCUUUUCUCUCCUAACCCAAAGCCACAACUACGUGGCAUGAACUGACUGUCCUCUGCAUGACCUUGGACAAGUCCCUUGACCCCUCCGGACUCGGCUUCCUGGUCUGUGAAGAGGAAAGGCCCUGGAUACCUGCUGGGGGCCCCGCAUGUUGAGACCCUGUGCUCCUUCUGUGGUGGUGUGUCCCCCUGAGACCAAACCCUGUGUGAAAAACAAAACUGAAACUCCCUGCUCUGUUUCUGAAGUAAUACUAGAGGCCUGAUGGUCAGGAGGAACAAGUGUCCAGAGUGACCAGGGGUCAAGCAGGCCCUUGAGACCCACGAAACCGGCAUUCUAGGAACUUCUAAAAGAGCCAGAUUCACAAAUGCCAGCAGGGCACAUGAUUUCUCGUAACAACAAAUGCCAAACACGAGAACGGAAAGCACUCCCAGGACACCUUGGCCCUGCUGCGCCGGAGUCACCUGGGAGACCCCCAGCCACCCGCUGGUGCUCUGGGAAAACAGCGCAUCCCCAUGUGUGGUGGCUCCCAAGGUGUUUCACGUACACUGGACUCUGAAAGCAGGAAGCCUCCCUGCAGACUUUGGGCCCCCCCGAGAGUGAACAUCCUGGUUUCUUGCAGCCAGGAAGCCUUUUCCAGUAUUUCUUGUAGUAUUUCUGCAUCUUUGAACUGUUUCCCGGAAAACACUGCAGAUGAUGAAAACCCAUUUCUGGGGUCUCUCACCAUUGCCAUGUGAACUGGGUGACCCCAAAGAGAGAGUUCCUUUUCCCUGCGGGGAAGAUGGAAGGGAGAUGCUUUGAGAUGAAAAACCACACAUGCGCUCUGGCUCUCUCACAGUUUAAUUCUGUUUAGUUUGAGGAAUAUUCAUCGCUGCCUCUGCACUGCGCUGUGCGAAGUACCAGCGGGAACCACACCAGGGAACCUCAAAGUGGAGAGGCAACUAAGAUUGGCAUGUUAGAUACUUUUUCACAUUGAUUGUUUCAUUCCAUCACCACACAACCUUCAGAGGCUGGUUGUGAUCUUUUCAGAAUGAGAAAACUAAAAGUCAGACAAGAGAAAACGACUUGCCCCAAAUAAUACCAUUCAUAAAAUGCUUAAUCCAGAAUUUAAACCCAUUUCUAUGUGUCUCCGAAGCCUGAGAAUGAGUGAAAAGGAAAGGAUAAUUUUCUAUAGGUAGAGGAAAAAAAUACUUGAAAGAAACACUGAAAUGUUCGCGAUGCUUCUUCCUGGGCAGUGGAAUCACGAUAAUUUUUGUGUGUAUCCUUGUGCUUCUCCGUCUUCCAGUUUUUCUCUUUCCUUGGACCUCAGAUGCAGAGGACAGCACCAGAUGUCCUCCGCAGUCCCUCUCUGGCUUUAUUUAAAUAACGAAUUAAUUCCCUUUGUCCCUAUUCCCUACUCCCACUCCUCCCUCCCCUGCCGAUGACGACUCCUCUAACGUGUUAGGCGCGUAUUGCUCUGUUUAUACUCCUGUAAAAGAUGUGGUUUUGUGUAUGAUGCAUUUAAUUCAUCUAAGGGAAAAAUCUCAUUUUGUUUAUCACUUUUAAAAAUACUCAGUACUAAAGAGAAAAUUUUUUAUUAUAAAAAUGUUCGUGCUUUUAAAAGUCGGCAGAAUGAUGUAGCAACUGAUACAUUCAUCGCCCAGCUGCAGCAGUGCCAGUUCGUGACCAGUCUU